rnacentral:rRNA from 1 species
AACGAACGCUGGCGGCAGGCCUAACACAUGCAAGUCGAACGCCCGUAGCAAUACGGGAGUGGCAGACGGGUGAGUAACGCGUGGGAACGUGCCCUUCGGUUCGGAAUAACUCAGGGAAACUUGAGCUAAUACCGGAUACGUCCGUAAGGAGAAAGAUUUAUUGCCGAAGGAUCGGCCCGCGUCGGAUUAGCUAGUUGGUGGGGUAAUGGCCCACCAAGGCGACGAUCCGUAGCUGGUCUGAGAGGAUGAUCAGCCACACUGGGACUGAGACACGGCCCAGACUCCUACGGGAGGCAGCAGUGGGGAAUAUUGGACAAUGGGCGAAAGCCUGAUCCAGCCAUGCCGCGUGAGUGAAGAAGGCCUUAGGGUUGUAAAGCUCUUUCAGGCGGGAAGAUAAUGACGGUACCCGCAGAAGAACGCCCCGGCUAACUUCGUGCCAGCAGCCGCAGU